UACGGGGGGAGCAAGCGUUGUUCGGAUUUACUGGGCGUAAAGGGCGCGUAGGCGGUCGUGACAAGGUCACUUGUGAAAUCUCCGGGCUUAAACUCGGAACGGUCAAGUGAUACUGUCGGACUAGAGUACAGAAGGGGCAACUGGAAUUCUCGGUGUAGGCGGUGAAAUGCGUAGAUAUUCGCAAGAACACCAGUGGCGAAGGCGGCUCACUGGCCCGAUACUGACGCUGAGGCACGAAAGCGUGGGGAGCAAACAGG
rnacentral:rRNA from 1 species